rnacentral:rRNA from 1 species
GACGGGGGAUGCAAGUGUUAUCCGGAAUAAUUGGGCGUAAAGCGUCUGUAGGUGGUUUACCAAGUCUGUUGUUAAAAUCCAGGGCUUAACCCUGAUCCGGCAACAGAAACUAGUAAGCUUGAGUACGGUAGGGGCAGAGGGAAUUCUCGGUGUAGUGGUGAAAUACGUAGAUAUCGAGAAGAACACCAAUAGCGAAAGCACUCUGCUGGGCCGAAACUGACAUUGAGAGACGAAAGCUAGGGAGCGAAAGGG